rnacentral:lncRNA from 1 species
GCCGGCUCCAGCUGACUACGGAGGACUAGUUUAGAUCUCCAGAUUCGAUAAUAUCUGCAUGUGUGGCACAAUUGAAGCAGCAGUGGCUUUCAGGCUAGUUACUGCAUGGACUAGUAAGGUAGCUCUCCUGCUCUCAGCACCGUGCAUCUGAUGCUCCGUUCUCAGGGACCACCUAACGUGGUUAACCGCCCUGGCUAACGGGGACACUGCUGACAAUACACGUGGCUGUUAGUUCCUGAUUUCUGCUUAAGGCUUUGCAGUUCUGCUUUUAGUCCUGUGACCAGAGACACUUCCUCCUAUGGCAGCUGAAUUCCACAUUUCCUGAAACAGGAUUUCCCUAUUUUGUAGAGAACUUCCAUGACUGAAUCUUCCUGCUUCUGGAAAUAAAAUGGGUAGUACCUUGCACACAAAGCUUGGAGGGUGCCUCUCUUUCUUCUCUUCUUCUGCUUUUUCUCAUUUACCUGAGAAGAAUUUUAAAUGGAUCAAAGGAAUGAAUGUCAGCCACCAAACUGAGAA